rnacentral:rRNA from 1 species
AUUGAACGCUGGCGGCAUGCCUUACACAUGCAAGUCGAACGGUAACAGGUUAAGCUGACGAGUGGCGAACGGGUGAGUAAUGUAUCGGAACGUGCCCGAUCGUGGGGGAUAACGCAGCGAAAGCUGCGCUAAUACCGCAUACGAUCUGAGGAUGAAAGCGGGGGACCGUAAGGCCUCGCGCGAUCGGAGCGGCCGAUGUCAGAUUAGGUAGUUGGUGGGGUAAAGGCUCACCAAGCCGACGAUCUGUAGCUGGUCUGAGAGGACGACCAGCCACACUGGGACUGAGACACGGCCCAGACUCCUACGGGAGGCAGCAGUGGGGAAUUUUGGACAAUGGGCGCAAGCCUGAUCCAGCAAUGCCGCGUGCAGGAAGAAGGCCUUCGGGUUGUAAACUGCUUUUGUACGGAGCGAAAAGGCUCUCUCUAAUACAGGGGGUUCAUGACGGUACCGUAAGAAUAAGCACCGGCUAACUACGUGCCAGCAGCCGCCGUAA